rnacentral:rRNA from 1 species
CCUACGUGCGGCAGCAGUGGGGAAUAUUGCGCAAUGGGCGAAAGCCUGACGCAGCGACGCCGCGUGAGGGAUGAAGGUCUUCGGAUCGUAAACCUCUGUCAGCAGGGAAGAACGGUCACUGUGCUAAUCAGCAGUGAAUUGACGGUACCUGCAAAGGAAGCACCGGCUAACUCCGUGCCAGCAGCCGCGGUAAUACGGAGGGUGCGAGCGUUAAUCGGAAUUACUGGGCGUAAAGCGCUCGUAGGCGGUAUGUCAAGUCAAGGGUGAAAUCCCCGCGCUCAACGUGGGAACUGCCUUUGAAACGGGCAAACUGGAGUGUGUGAGAGGAUAGUGGAAGUCCAGGUGUAGGAGUGAAAUCCGUAGAUAUCUGGAGGAACAUCAGUGGCGAAGGCGACUAUCUGGCACAUAACUGACGCUGAGGAGCGAAAGCGUGGGUAGCAAACAGGAUUAGAUACCCCAGUAGUC